UGGGGAAUAUUGGACAAUGGGCGCAAGCCUGAUCCAGCAAUUCCGCGUGGGUGAAGAAGGUCUUCGGAUUGUAAAGCCCUUUCGGCGGGGACGAUGAUGACGGUACCCGCAGAAGAAGCCCCGGCUAACUUCGUGCCAGCAGCCGCGGUAAUACGAAGGGGGCUAGCGUUGCUCGGAAUGACUGGGCGUAAAGGGCGCGUAGGCGGCGCGAGUAGUCAGGCGUGAAAUUCCCGGGCUCAACCUGGGGGCUGCGCUUGAUACGCUCGUGCUUGAGGAUGGCAGAGGCUCGUGGAAUUCCCAGUGUAGAGGUGAAAUUCGUAGAUAUUGGGAAGAACACCGGUGGCGAAGGCGGCGAGCUGGGCCAUUACUGACGCUGAGGCGCGACAGCGUGGGGAGCAAACAGGAUUAGAUACCCUGGUAGUCCACGCCGUAAACGAUGUGCGCUGGAUGUUGGGGCCCCUAGGGUCUCAGUGUCGCAGCCAACGCGGUAAGCGCACCGCCUGGGGA
rnacentral:rRNA from 1 species